UUAAACAAUUCAUCAAUUAUUCAAGAAAAUAAUCAGAUAAUGUAAAGAAUCAUUAGUUGCAGCUCUAUAUCCGUCUCAAAUCCCCAAAAUUGCCCUGAGCUCAGUGUGUUCGGUACAUUUAACCUAUAAUCUUUCAAAAUAAAAGUUAAAAUAGUAAUUUAUUGAUUACGUCAUGUUUUUUGUAACAUGUAUAUUUUAAUUUUCGUGCCUUUUGAGAAAAUGAAGACUGUGAUAAUGAGUCAUGUGACUCAGAUGUGUUUAUCACAGCUGUGAGCACUCAGCCGCUGUACUGAGCGAACCUGAAGAAGCUACAGGCGAAACGCCUUGUUGGCUCUUAAUAAAGUCACAGUAAAGUCAUUACAGUGUUGAUUUUCACCUGAUAUGUUCCUGUGACCGACCAGCACCUGACUGAAAAUACUGGCUGUGCAGGACGAGUUCUGUCCUUUAGUCAUUUAUUACAUUUUAAUCAAAAGUAAUGAAACUGCUGAUUCGUCUGACUAAAGGAACAAACGACAUACAACGUUCUGUAUUGUUCUUACUGUCAACAACGUGUUAGUUUGUCUCUCAAUAAACUUUACUGAAGACAUGAAUCUUUAACAGCUCACAAAUAUAUAGUUUUAUGUUUUAAAAAGGCUCAAUAAUUCACUAAAACAGGAGGAAAUAGUGCGUUUGUCUUGGGGACUAUUUUCAGCGGCGGAUGAAUCCACAUUUAGUGUUCUAGUGAGCAUCUAGUGAGUCAGUUCAUCGUUGGUUUGUACAGGUGAGUGACAAUAAGAAGAUUAGAGAAAAUCAGCAGCCUAAUACUUUAAAUAGUUAUUAUUUUUAUUGUUUAAGCGACUGUACUUCCUGUGUAAUCUUCUUCUCUUUGGAGAACAUUUUAGAAAUCUUGCACACUAAAAUCAAACUGCUACCAAAGUUCUUGCUGCACAACAACAACAAGUUAGAGAGAAUUCACCAAAAUAUCUUUUCUCCUCUGAGAGCGUGUCACCAUCUAUUUCUGGUAAACACUGCGUCACCUCUUCAGUUGACCUCAGCUGACAGGAACCAGGAGGCAACGGAGAGAAACUGGGACAAGUUAGGCUGUUCAGAAACGACACAAUGUUGCAUCUCCACCUACUUGUCCUGACGCUCCUCUGGAUUGGCUGACUCCUGACUGUGGGCCCGCCCCCGGCCCCGCUGACAGUCGUCACGGU